rnacentral:rRNA from 1 species
UACGGAGGGUGCGAGCGUUGUCCGGAAUCACUGGGCGUAAAGGGUGCGUAGGCGGCUAGGUAAGUCACGUGUGAAAGGCCGGGGCUCAACCCCGGAUCGGCAUGUGAGACUGUCUGGCUCGAGCAUGGUAGAGGCGGGCGGAAUUCCUGGUGUAGCGGUGGAAUGCGUAGAGAUCAGGAAGAACACCGGUGGCGAAGGCGGCUCGCUGGGCCAUUGCUGACGCUGAGGCACGAAAGCGUGGGGAGCAAACAGG